AUGGUGAAACCUCCCAUUGAUUGAUCUCUCCACACACACUCCCCGCUGACCAGAGAAAACACUCCACAGCGACUACAAGAGGGGCUUUAAAUCGGACAAUAUCGCCCUCGUUACUUCUCAAAUAGACUAGCUAUCUGUCUACUCAUGCGGGCUGAGAUAGCGCGCUGUUACCGAGCUAAUAACGCCUCUCUAACGUCGAUAGGUAGCGUGUGAUGUCGGCUCUGGUGGACUUGUUUUCCUCUCUAGACCUCGCUUCCUGUUAGCCUCUGGGCUAAGCUGGGAAAACUAAAUUAUGCGAAUGAACGAGCAGGUAUAGUUAGCUACAAAGGGGGUGCAACUUUACUUAUUACAAUAAAGCAAUUUGAGUUUGAAUAUAUUCAGUAAAUCUAACUUUGUUUCCACAGCUCAGCUAUCAGAGCAGAGCUAGUCAGCGAGCUAACCCGACGACAAGCUAGCCAUCUUGUGUUUGAGGGAUUUAAGUAUUUACAAGCUUCUGGUGGCGGAGAGAGAGCCAGAUUAACUUCACUUACAUGUUACACAUCGGGAUAACUCGUUUAGGAUCUAAUUGUGUGCGAUUAAUGCCUUAAAAACACUUUAUUUUACUGUGUGAAAGCCUGUUAGUGAGAGACAAUAGAGAACGUUGCUCAGCCGUUGUUGUGGCAACCGACGAAAAACCGUUGGUAACUAACUUCCGGGUAAAUAACGUGGUGUUUUUGAGUACUGUGUUUUUGUUAUACCGCAUGCUGAUUUAAGUAUAUUUUUUAAUACUUGUGUACGUUCAUACGUGGUGUGGGGGACGGUGGAUGUUAGUCGGUGCUUGUGCUUCCCUGAAACCCGUCAGGUGCCUCAUCCUCGUCUAUUUAUAUUAUAAACAACAAGCUUUAAAUGCCUCAGAAAACACCGGGAGUCGGUCGUCAUCAUCAGAGGUAACCUAGACGCGUAGAAGAGGGAGGCUUCCUGCUCCUCCAUCACCACCACCGCCCUCCCCAGCCAUGGACCCCCCGAGGACUCGGUCUCGGUCUCGGUCUGGCUUCUAUCAUUUCGGCAUGAACGGCAACGUUGGCAACAAUGGCAAUGGUGGUAACGCGGUUGGUAACGUUGGGAGCAUGAUGAUGAACGCCAGUGGAGGAGGAGGAGGUGUAGUGAGCUACCCGCAGCAGCAGCAGCAGAGCAACCCCGGCUGGGCGCCGCACCACCACCACCACGGUGGAGGUGGUGGUGGUCGCAGCUACCCAGACAGCCAGCAGCAACAGCAGCAGCAGCAGCACGCCCAGGGGAGCUACCUGUCCGCGGGGGCGCAGCGACACUCCUCACACGGAGCCCCGCACAGACACCCCGGGGCCGGAGGAGUGCUACAUUUUCAUCCAGAUAAUGUGUGCAGCGAGGAUCGGGACAAAAUGGAAGACAGUCCAAGCCCGAAGAGGCAGCGUCUUUCCCAGCAGACCAUGUUGGAUCUAAACUCCGCCCCUCCCUCUACUCCCUCCUCUCCCAUUCGCCCCUGGGAGCUGCCUCCCAGUCGCAGACCACACCCCCACUACAUGCCAGAGAGAUGCCACACGCCUGUUCGCAACCGACGCAGCCCUCCAAUGAGACGCCAGCGCGGCCGGAGAGACCGUCUGACCCGCCACCACCACCACGCCCACAACAACCACCACCACUACAACAGCAACAACAACCACCACCACCAUCACCACCCCAACGCCCACCAUCAUCACCACCACCACCUGCACUCCCACCACGGCCCGUCGCCAGGCCACCAGGAUGAGAACUACCGUCACCAGGCUCCCCCUCAGGGUUACCCACCCUUUAGCCAGCAACCCCUCCGAGGGCUGGGACCCGGGCUUGAAGAGCGCCCAGGUCACCAUCCCCCAAAUCCCUCCCCGAGGCCCCUCCAUCAAUCACCGAACCUGUCUCCCAGGCUGCUGCACCCUGCGGCCCAUCCACAGCACCAACACCCCCACCCAUCCCAGCAGAGCAGUAUGGUGCUGGACCUCCACGAGCAGGGUUCAGCUCCAGUAUCGUAUCCUGUGUCUCCUCCGGGAGCGCCACCAGGCCUGCCGCCUCGAUCCGCCCCUCAGCAGAUCCCAGCAUGCUCAGUGGUCUUCAGUGGACAGCACUAUCCUGUCUGCAGUGUCCCUCCUCCUGUCCUUCAGACUUGUUCUGUGCAACACUUGCCCAUGCCCUACCCGUUCCCAUCAUUGCUGUCCAGUGACCCGGCCUUCCUGCUUCCCCCUCCUCAUCUCUCCCAUCCCCCAGCACACCUUUCCCACCACCCACCUCACCUGCCCCAGCCGGCACAGUUUGGACCUUAUCCGACGCAGCAAGCCCGAUCGCCGUUACAGAGGAUAGAGAAUGAUGUGGAACUGCUUGGAGAGCACCUGUCUUUGGGUGCUGGGCUCCACUAUCCUCCCGCCACCCACCCUGCCCUCACACCACACUCCACCCAGCUUCACUUCCUGUCUCAUGACCCGCUGCCACAGGAGUUCUUCGGAGUGUCCUAUCCAAACUUUAUUCCUCGGCGUCUCCCGGGGCGACGGUACCGCUCGCAACAGCCACUGCCACCUUCGCCUUACCACCCCAGCCUCCUGCCUUACUUCCUUUCAAUGCUGCCAGUCCAGCCCACAGGUCCUGCGAUCAGUCUAGAGCUGGACGUAGAUGACGGAGAGGUGGAAAACUAUGAGGCCCUCCUGAACCUCGCUGAACGUCUGGGAGAGGCCAAACUCCGAGGACUGACUAAGGGAGACAUCGAACAGCUUCCUUCCUAUCGGUUCAAUCCAAAUAACCAUCAGUCUGAACAAACACUGUGUGUGGUGUGUAUGAGUGAUUUUGAGUCCCGCCAACUGCUGCGAGUCCUGCCCUGCAGCCACGAGUUCCACGGGAAGUGUGUCGACAAAUGGCUGAGGGCCAACAGGACGUGUCCCAUCUGUCGGGCCGACGCCUCGGAAGUCCAGAGAGACUCCGAGUGACCACAUGAGGGAGCCAGAUGCUCCUAAUUGUCUGUCGAACACGUUCAGCACUACCUGCUCCUGAUGUAUUGAUACACAUAUUUUGCUCUGGAGGUGCAAUGACUUCAAGCUGCCACUAGGCAGCGUUACUGUUCUUCUAGACUACCAUGACUCCUGACCAGGAUGUGGUUCUCCUGAUAAAUACUCUUUGGUUUACAGGAGAGUGAAGGAGACGUUCCUCUGGAAGAAUCACAGUGUGAAAUAAGAGCCGUAACAUCACCUGUGGCCUCAGAGCGAGCCUGAAUGACCGUCUGCUCAGUCCUGUCUAAACGAAGAGAGGAAAGGCUUUUACACCUCGGCUGUCUCCACCGCUCUCCUCCAUGGCAGCCCACACUUUUAAUGCGCAAAUGCAAGUGUGUGUGCGUGGUGAAGACUGUCCCAAGCUGACAGGGUACAUGGAUUCUCCAUCCUGCUUGUAUAAAAAAAGAAAGCGAGAGCACCGAGCUCUGCCUGCUUCACUUAUAUUCACAUUUGUGCACACACUUGCACUGUCUCUUUUUUUCUCCCCUUCUCUCUUGUAUCUUUCGCUCUCCACAGGCAUGCACUCAGCAGUGUGAGGGUUAAAUGUAGAUGCAUAAGCAGGGCAGGUUGUUCCCUGCCCAUCUCCCUGAGUGAAGUGUGUGUGUGUAAUAUUUAUUUCAUAGGGAUUCCCCCUCUCUGCAUGUUUGAUGGCUGCUGGCCACGUCAUCAUGUUCUGAGCUGUCAGCGGCCGUCACUGUCACACGUGGGACACGAGUUGUGUGUGUGAGUGAGCGAGAGAGAGACUGAAUGAGGAAGAGAAAGGGACGAGACCAUGGAUGUCUGGACGAGACAGAAAGAGAGCGUCAGACAGGACGGGUGUGUGUGGACAGGUGGAGUGGAAAUCAUGCCAUACUGGGGGCUCAGUGGGAGCGUCAGCAUCAGAACGAAGGCUUUCCACUUGACACAUUUAGUCGGCUCUACAGGACGCUCUGUUCCAGGACCAGCAGGCUCAGGAACAGCUUUCUCUCCUCAGCUGACACCUUGCUGAGGUCCGCACCUCUGUGAAAGUAAUUAUACACUCUGUUAAUACUCUUCAUACACCGAUCAGCCAUAACAUUAUGACAGCAUGGGCACCCUGAUUGGUUUGCGGCUACACAGCCCCAUACGCAACAAACUGCAAUGCACUGUAUGUUCUGACACCCAUCUAUCGGAACCAGCAUUAACGUUUCAGCAAUUUGAGCUACAGUAGCUCUUCUAUUGGAUCGGACAACACGGGC